rnacentral:rRNA from 1 species
UACGUAGGGGGCAAGCGUUGUCCGGAUUUAUUGGGUUUAAAGGGUGCGUAGGUGGUCUAUUAAGUCAGUGCUGAAAUAUCCCGGCUUAACCGGGAGGGUGGCAUUGAUACUGAUGGACUUGAGUAAAGUUGAGGUGGGCGGAAUUGACGGUGUAGCGGUGAAAUGCUUAGAUAUCGUCAAGAACACCUAUUGCGAAGGCAGCUCACUAAGCUUUAACUGACACUGAGGCACGAAAGUGUGGGGAUCAAACAGG